GAUGAACGCUAGCGGGAGGCUUAACACAUGCAAGUCGAGCGGGAGGGGUAGCAAUACCCUGAGAGCGGCGCACGGGUGCGUAACGCGUAUGCAACCUGCCUUAUACAAAGGGAUAGCCCAUGGAAACGUGGAUUAAUAUCUUAUAGGACUUAAGAAUCGCAUGGUUUUUAAGUAAAUUACGGUGGUAUAAGAUGGGCAUGCGUCUGAUUAGCUAGUUGGUGAGGUAACGGCUCACCAAGGCGACGAUCAGUAGGGGUUCUGAGAGGAUUACCCCCCA
rnacentral:rRNA from 1 species